UCCAGACUCCUACGGGAGGCAGCAGUGAGGAAUAUUGGUCAAUGGGCGGAAGCCUGAACCAGCCAAGUCGCGUGAGGGAUUAAGGCCCUAUGGGUCGUAAACCUCUUUUGUCAGGGAGCAAUGGCGUCCACGUGUGGGCGUAUGGAGAGUACCUGAAGAAAAAGCAUCGGCUAACUCCGUGCCAGCAGCCGCGGUAAUACGGAGGAUGCGAGCGUUAUCCGGAUUUAUUGGGUUUAAAGGGUGCGUAGGCGGGCAGUUAAGCCGGCGGUCAAAUGUCGGGGCUCAACCCCGGCCUGCCGUCGGAACUGGGUGCCUUGAGUGGGCGAGAAGUAUGCGGAAUGCGUGGUGUAGCGGUGAAAUGCAUAGAUAUCACGCAGAACCCCGAUUGCGAAGGCAGCAUACCGGCGCCCUACUGACGCUGAGGCACGAAAGUGCGGGUAUCGAACAGGAUUAGAUACCCCCGUA
rnacentral:rRNA from 1 species